CGGCCAACACAGGGGAACCCCGUCUCCACC
rnacentral:piRNA from 1 species